rnacentral:rRNA from 1 species
AACGAACGCUGGCGGCAGGCUUAACACAUGCAAGUCGAACGCCCCGCAAGGGGAGUGGCAGACGGGUGAGUAACGCGUGGGAACGUACCUUUCAGUUCGGAAUAACUCAGGGAAACUUGUGCUAAUACCGGAUACGCUCGUAAGAGGAAAGAUUUAUCGCUGAAAGAUCGGCCCGCGUUGGAUUAGCUAGUUGGUGGGGUAAUGGCCUACCAAGGCGACGAUCCAUAGCUGGUCUGAGAGGAUGAUCAGCCACACUGGGACUGAGACACGGCCCAGACUCCUACGGGAGGCAGCAGUGGGGAAUAUUGGACAAUGGGCGAAAGCCUGAUCCAGCCAUGCCGCGUGAGUGAUGAAGGCCCUAGGGUUGUAAAGCUCUUUCACCGAUGAAGAUAAUGACGGUAGUCGGAGAAGAAGCCCCGGCUAACUUCGUGCCAGCCGCCGCGGUAAAAC